ACACGGACCAAGGAGUGCAACAUGCGUGCGAGUCUUGGGGUGACAAACCCAUCGGCGCAAUGAAGGUGAAGGCAGAUUUUUGGUCUGCUCAGGCAGGAGCUCCCCUCCGGGGGGCACACUGUCGACCGAUCCCAGGCUACGCUGUGGCGGGAUUUGAGUAAGAGCGUGCCUGUUGCGACCCGAAAGAUGGUGAACUAUGCCUGAAUAGGGUGAAGCCAGAGGAAACUCUGGUGGAAGCUCGUAGCGAUUCUGACGUGCAAAUCGAUCGUCAAAUUUGGGUAUAGGGGCGAAAGACUAAUCGAACCAUCUAGUAGCUGGUUCCCUCCGAAGUUUCCCUUAGGAUAGCUGGAGCCCGGUGCAGUUUUAUCAGGUAAAGCGAAUGAUUAGAGGUCUUGGGGUUGAAACAACCUCAACCUAUUCUCAAACUUUAAAUGGGUAAGAAGCUUGGCUUGCUCAAGUGAAGUCAGGCACUGAAUGCCGGGGCUCUUAGUGGGCCAUUUUUGGUAAGCAGAACUGGCGAUGUGGGAUGAACCAAAUGCCGGGUUAAGGUGCCUGAAUCGACGCUCAUCGCGAUACCCUGAAAGGUGUUGGUUGAUUAGACAGCA
rnacentral:rRNA from 1 species